rnacentral:rRNA from 1 species
CAGUCGCCACGGUAAAACAGAGGGUGCGAGCGUUAAUCGGAUUUACUGGGCGUAAAGCGUGCGUAGGCGGCUUUUUAAGUCGGAUGUGAAAUCCCUGAGCUUAACUUAGGAAUUGCAUUCGAUACUGGGAAGCUAGAGUAUGGGAGAGGAUGGUAGAAUUCCAGAUGUAGCGGUGAAAUGCGUAGAGAUCUGGAGGAAUACCGAUGGCGAAGGCAGCCAUCUGGCCUAAUACUGACGCUGAGGUACGAAAGCAUGGGGAGCAAACAGGAUUAGAUACCCCUGUAGUCCCUGUCUCUUAUAC